CCAGGUCCACUGUUGGAAACACUUCUGAAAGAGGCAGCUCUGGAAGCUGGUCACCUGAAGACAGUGAGAAAACGGAUGUGAGAAAGGAAGGACCUGAUCAUCCAUCAGACAGAAUCCAGACAUGACAAUUAGAGUUAAUGAACCACAACCCAUGAAGCUGCCUCAGCACCUUUUUACAACCCCACUUCAUGGCCUUAAUAAAAGUACCAGGGUUUAUUUUACAGAGCACAUCUGCUCUAAAUUCUCAAAGGAGAAACUUUGCAUUCAGAAGUUAUGUUUGGUUUCUUCACCACUUUUCAGUGAUGCAUAAAGAAUAUUUAACAGCUGUGUAUUUACUUUUCUAUCUGUUCAGUCAACACAACAUCGGAAGAUAAUGCUUUUUUGUAUAAUAAGACUGCAUUGUUAUAAUAAUUAUUUAGCUUACAUUAACACAGUAAGCUGCUGAGGAUGACUGAAAAGUACCAGGCAAAUAUUUUUUUUUUAUUUCUCCAGUCUAAUGGCAUCUAUAUGCAAGUAUUGCCUUUGAUUUCAGAUAUUUAGAAAUAGUGUGCUUUACAAAAAUCAGGUUGAUUUGCUGCUUUUCAAAUAUGCCUCACUCAGCCUUGGUACUGAAGUCUUCAAUUUCUUCACAGAGCAGACAAAGGAUUUCUGCAGUUAUCCAGUUUUUGGAUCCUACCCAUUUCCUUAGGUCUCAACUACCAGUUCCAUACCCAUACUGCUUCUUCUGUCCAGAAGCAAAAAGAAGCCAAGUGGAAGGAUAAAUUAGCUCAUAGAUUAAUUGUUAGAAGACUCCCUUUUGCAUAGUAGGAGAUGACUGGAAGAGCUCUGGGAUGGACUAUAAGGUAUAAUAUAUAAAGGGAAGAAGUCAUUUUGUUCCUCGCCACAGUAACAUGAGUAAAAAUAUGACAAAAUUGACCCUGUUGUAUCACAAAGCUUCAGAUGGCAGUUAUUGAGAAGCCUAAUUACGAUGCAUUGCUUUCAGAUUGUCAGUAUUUUUCAGGAAAGUAAAGAGAAUACCUUCUUUUGAUAUUAACCAUUAAUUUAAAAAUUAAUCAAUCUGCAUAUUAAUCCACAACUGAAUCAAUCCUAGAGUCAUUUGCCAGAAGGAUAGUAUAUUUUGUCAUGACGUUAUUGGUCAGCCAAGUCUGAUAUGUAUACAGUGCUAGCACAAAAAUUAUUUUCCCAAAACAAAUCAAUUCCCCAUGAAAAUUGAUAUCUAAAUUACCAUUGCUUUUUGGUAAUGGUAGACAAUUCCAGGAACACUUGUCCAGUUUGGCCUUGUCAAAGCCUCCUACAGUAAAAUAUAUAAUUCUUCUCUUUUUAUAAUAAGCAGAAAACAUCAACACGUUUAGGAGACAUUCUGCUUUGUUUGCAGGAACUCAGUGGGACCCUGUGCCUCAUACAGACUUUACCACUGAGUUCCUGCAGCUUGGUUCAGAAACCUGCAAAAGCAAGAUAGUAAGUGCAGAGCAAGAGCUCGGGAGUGGUGUCUCAUGGCCAGCUGCAUUCCAAUUCCCUCUUCUUAGUGAGUUAAAAAGCGAUUGGUCACAUCCUGGUUGUGGGGAAGAAAAAGACCCUCAGCAGCCAGUACCUGUUUAACUCUGAACUGGAAGAAAACCACCAUUCAGAAGAGUCCAGUUUGGUCUUGCACAUGGAAAUGUCUGUGGUGCAGGACUUCACUGGGAGCCGUUGCCUUUCAAGGGAAGUGGCUCACAGAGCUUUGUAUUAUAAUUUUUUUCUGUACUUUAAAUAACAGAUUAAAUAAUAAACCACUUAAUCUUAUUCUUGCCAAAUUUUCUCAACUAAAAUUAAAAAAAAAAGUCUUACAUUGUUUUAAAUGGCUUGGUAAUAAAAAUCCCUGAAACUAUUACUCUUAGUGUACAUACUAUUAAUAAGAUAAGUUUAGGUUUAUCUUCUUUCCUUGUUCAUUUGGUUUUUGUUUUAACCUUCCUAGAGCUCAUUAAAUGUAUUGAAAUCACAGUCAAACUAGUGAAAAAAUAAUAUGUGAAGCUGAAAAACUAGCAAAAUUUAAAAAUUAUUGAAAUAAUGUUUGCUACAAAUACCUUCUGCCUUGCUUAAACAUCAAAUUAUUUUUGCAAAUUUGUGUUCAGAGAACAUAUUCAACAUAGUGAAUAAACCACCCACAGACCAGUUGAAUGAUGUUUUAAACGCCCACUACUUUAAUAAUUUCCUUCAAGCCAAUUCUACUUCAGUAACUAAAGAACACAUAACAGAAGAAAUAAUUGGUUUUAACUUCAAGUGUCAUAUAAAAACAUUUAAUGGAAGAUCUCUAUGAUGUAAACAAAUCUUUCUAUGAGAAAAUGCUCUACUAGAAAUUUGUGGUUUCAUGAGCUGUUUACAAGUCAUUCUAUUGUAACACUUUUUAUUUAAAAGUAACAGUAAAUUGUAUUUCGUCAUAAACUUUAUUUCUUUGGGUUUUAAUUAAUUUAAUUAUUUUUUAAAUUAUUGUUUUGAUGACAUUUAAUAUACAAAGCAGUCAUUUUGAUUGAAAAGAAAACAUUGUUCCUCAUCCAAUAUUCUCAUCCAAAAUAACUCAUGUUUAUAGGGAGACACAGCAAGGAAAACAAAUAUUAGGUGUUGACUCAAAGAUAUGAGAGCACUUAACUCAGAACUGUGGCUUGGAAGAGCCAGAUCAUGCAUGAACAUUCAAUCCUCCUUGGCAGUUACAGUCCAAGUUUUUGUAUACAUUCUAACCAAAACUAAAGUGAACUCUCCAGUUUCUUAAUUAAUAGAAGAUAUACAGAACCAACCUCCCAGCACAGUACGUAUAUUGAAAAAUGUCAUGUGUAUUAAUUAAAUUACAGUAUUAAAAAAAA